rnacentral:rRNA from 1 species
GCAAGUCGAGCGCGAAAGCACUUCGGUGUGAGUAGAGCGGCGGACGGGUGAGUAACGCGUAGGAAUCUACCUGGUAGUGGGGGACAACCUGGUGAAAACCAGGCUAAUACCGCAUACGCCCUAAGGGGGAAAGCGGGGGAUCUUCGGACCUCGCGCUAUUGGAUGAGCCUGCGUUGGAUUAGCUAGUUGGUGGGGUAAAAGCCUACCAAGGCGACGAUCCAUAGCUGGUCUGAGAGGACGAUC